CCUACGGGGUGCAGCAGUGGGGAAUAUUGGACAAUGGGCGAAAGCCUGAUCCAGCCAUGCCGCGUGUGUGAAGAAGGCCUUCGGGUUGUAAAGCACUUUCAGUGGGGAAGAAAGCCUUGGGGCUAAUACCCUCGAGGAAGGACAUCACCCACAGAAGAAGCACCGGCUAACUCCGGGCCAGCAGCCGCGGUAAUACGGAGGGUGCGAGCGUUAAUCGGAAUUACUGGGCGUAAAGCGCGCGUAGGCGGUCUGAUAAGCCGGUUGGGAAAGCCCCGGGCUCAACCUGGGAACGGCAUCCGGAACUGUCAGGCUAGAGUGCAGGAGAGGAAGGUAGAAUUCCCGGUGUAGCGGUGAAAUGCGUAGAGAUCGGGAGGAAUACCAGUGGCGAAGGCGGCCUUCUGGACUGACACUGACGCUGAGGUGCGAAAGCGUGGGUAGCAAACAGGAUUAGAUACCCGAGUAGUC
rnacentral:rRNA from 1 species